GACAAUCUGAACAUUAUUAGAAUGGAUGCGAUGGAAAUUGAUGACAGCAUUUAUAUAAAAAAGAACUUCGCAAUGGACGGCCUCGGUAGUCAAGUUGUUUUUCCGAGGAGAAAGCAGCCCUUUCGAUGUGCUACCGUGUGUCUGGGGUUACUGAGUGCUGUCCUGUUGGCUGGUAACAUAGCGCAGUUUGUCUACUAUGAGAUAAUCAGCCGCCCCGCUUCAGCAGAGCCGACACAGGCCAGCGGCCGGUUUCAA
ensembl:lncRNA